GCCUGACAUUGGUCUGAAUUUAGGCUUCAGGCUCUGCUAGUGUCUGUGUGAAAGGCAGACGAGCAACUUUCUCAUGUUAGCCUGAGAAAUCUAAAGGAGGAAUUCAAACAAACCUUGGGAAGUGAGAAACCAUCUGCAGGUGGUGUUUUUCCAACGUGUUUACUGGAAAGAAAUGUUUACUAAAGGGUGUAGACGCUGAAUAACCAAUCAUGUUCUUUGUACCGAACUACUCUAUAAAAGUAGAAUGUAGAAGAAUAAAGGUUGCUCUCAUCUUUACCAUCAUGGAGAGUCAUGUUGUUAUUUCUGUGCCGUCCGAAAACCAUAGCAACAUCUGGUGACCUGACGUUUCGAAGAAGUUCAGCGCAGCCGGGACUGAUUCAUGCAGCAAAGCUUGAAAAAUUGCUACCUGCCUCCUCAGAGAGAAAAGACAGCCGGGCAGAGGUUCCAGAAAAACCUGGGGAACCCCUCUCCUGAGAGAGGACAGCUUGUGCCUUUCCUGACAAGAGCAGCUGGAAUUCUUCGCUGCCGACAGCUUGCCCAGCGCUCCCCCGACCUCUUUCGGUUCUGUCUGGCCAAGAUCAAAGCGAGCGUCUGUAAGCCUCUCCCGGCCGGCAGAGACGGCGCUUCCUUGGCUUUUCCUUCUCCUUUCUUCAUACCACGGAUGGCUGGCAGUGGUUCCUGCGCUAUCAUCCACUGCGACUAGUCUGUACCGUGACUUUAAAAGAUGCUAGCCCGUCCAAGAUACAGCUGGUCAGAUUCCGACCCAGAGUGUGACACAACGAUCCUUUCCUCCUCGGCGUGGCCCCGCAUCUGGCCUGCGGACGGGACCGGGAUCGAAAACCUUUGAUCCCUCUGUAUCCUUCUGUGUGUUCAGGGCGAAAAGUUCACUUUAUGAGUGUUUUAUGCUUUUAACGUUACCUGUGCUUGUUUUUAUGAUUGCCUGUGUGAGUUUAGGGCUUGUCUUUCUUUGUGUCUCUGUGUUUUAACUUUGUUCUUUCCCUUGUGCGGGUGUGGGGGGUGCGGUGAGACAGAGGCAUGGCAGCACGGAUGCGAUCUCCCUGCCUUCUCUCUCUCUCGCUCGGUUUUUCUCCCGCCCUGCUCCAGGGCGCUGCAGCGGCUGCAAAAUCUCUCUCUCUCUCUCGUUUUUCCGUACUCGGUUUCCCCCCGUCCCCGCGGGCGCGCAGGUCCCUUCCCCGCGCGGUGCCGCUGAGACGGGCGGCUUGGAGCAGCUUUGCCUCUUCGUCCCCCCCCCUUCCCCCCAGGGCGGUGAGGGGGGCCACCGGCUCUCCGCUUGAGACAGGCGGCGGCAGGGUGGCGGCGGGCUGAGCCCCGCCAAGCCCCGCUCCGUUGUCCCCUCUCCGUAUCCCCUCCAUUUCCUUCCCGCGUGAAUUUGCACAGCAAGUCGUCAUAGGAACGGAGGAGCGGUCUCCUCGCUCCUUUUCCCCCUUCCCCCCGCCAUGAGCGGCGGGGUUCGCUCCCCCACUCCUUCCCUGCGGGCCAAGCGGCUGGCUGCGAAUAGGGCACGAGGAACUUGCCGUUCCUCUAGACAGCGGAUAAUGCUGUGGGAGUUGCUUCGCUUGAAUUUUUUUUUUUUUUUACAUAGAAAUGGGGGCCACGUUUGUUUGGAUUUCCCCCAGCUCUGCGGAGCGGCCCUGGGGCCAUUGAGCCCCCAAAGCCCCACUCAGGGCAGGGCCAAAUAGCUUCGUCGCCUUUGAGGUGAGCAGAAGCUUUUUCCUUUACAGAAAAAUGGGGGCCACGUUUGUUUGGAUUUCCCCCAGCUCCGCGGGGCGGCCCUGGGGCCCUUGAGCCCCCAAAGCCCCACUGAGGGAGGGCCAAAUAGCUUCGUUGCCUUUGAGGUGAGCAGAAGCUUUUCCCUUUAGAG